AAUAACACUUAGCUUAAGCACAAACAACAUUGUACGACUAUUCAAAAAUAGUUUCUUUACAUCCUGAGGUCUUCAGGGGCGGUAACAUGCAUGGAGCUGUCCUCUCCUCUGAUAGCAGUGCCUUCUUCUGGAUAGAUCAAUGAUGUUGAGCUUUUUUCAUGUGUUUGUUGGCUGUUUUGGUUACUGUAGCCUUGUAUUAUAGUUUAAAGUUGGGCGGUGUGAUGCCUCCAGCUUUAUUCUUUUUGCUUAGGAUUAGGAUUGCCUUGACUAUUCAGGCUCUUUUUUGGUUCCAUAUGAAUUUUAAAAUAGU
rnacentral:lncRNA from 1 species